UAUGAUUGGAAGCACUAUGAUUUAAAAGU
rnacentral:piRNA from 1 species